rnacentral:rRNA from 1 species
GUUUGAUCCUGGCUCAGAACGAACGCUGGCGGCAGGCCUAACACAUGCAAGUCGAACGGCUGUAGCAAUACAGCAGUGGCGCACGGGUGAGUAACGCGUGGGAACGUGCCUUUUGGUACGGAAUAACGUCGGGAAACUGACGCUAAUACCGUAUACGCCCUCCGGGGGAAAGAUUUAUCGCCAAAAGAUCGGCCCGCGUCAGAUUAGCUAGUUGGUGGGGUAAUGGCCUACCAAGGCUCCGAUCUGUAGCUGUUCUGAGAGGAAGAUCAGCCACACUGGAACUGAGACACGGUCCAGACUCCUACGGGAGGCAGCAGUGGGGAAUAUUGGGCAAUGGGGGAAACCCUGACCCAGCCAUGCCGCGUGAAUGAUGAAGGCCUUAGGGUUGUAAAGUUCUUUUGCAGGGGACGAUGAUGACGGUACCCUGAGAAUAAGCUCCGGCUAACUUCGUGCCAGCAGCCGCGGUAAUACGAAGGGAGCUAGCGUUGUUCGGAAUUACUGGGCGUAAAGCGUGCGCAGGCGGCUUUUUAAGCCAGAGGUGAAAUGCCGGGGCUCAACCCCGGAACUGCCUUUGGAACUGGAAAGCUAGAGUCUCGGAGGGGUUAGCGGAAUUCCUAAUGUAGCGGUGAAAUGCGUAGAUAUUAGGAGGAACACCAGCGGCGAAGGCGGCUAACUGGACGAGUACUGACGCUCAUGCACGAAAGCGUGGGAAUCAAACAGGAUUAGAUACCCUGGUAGUCCACGCCCUAAACGAUGAGUGCUAGCCGUUGGGGGGUUACCCUUCAGUGGCGCAGCUAACGCGUUAAGCACUCCGCCUGGGGAGUACGGCCGCAAGGUUGAAACU